rnacentral:rRNA from 1 species
AGAAUCAACGCUGGCGGCGUGCCUAACACAUGCAAGUCGAACGAGAAAGUGGAGCAAUCCAUUAGUAAAGUGGCGCACGGGUGAGUAACACGUGACUAACCUACCUUUUAGUGAGGGAUAACCUAGGGAAACCUGGGCUAAUACCGCAUAAUACCUACGGGUCAAAGCAGCAAUGCGCUGAAAGAGGGGGUCGCGGUCGAUUAGUUAGUUGGCAGGGUAAUGGCCUACCAAGACUGUGAUCGAUA